AGUUACAACCAACUCAUCUAAUGGGUGGGAGUGAAUCACUAGUCACAUUACAUGACUACUAAAAUCAUCUCAUCCAUUAAAUGAGUGGUAUAUAACUCAUUUUUCAAUAUUAGAGAAACAUAUGUAGAAUUUGGUUAUUUUGUAGUAUUAAUAGUAUCAAGCGUUUUCUGUUAUUGGGUUUCGGCCUUUGGAUAAAAAAAUACGCAAUUUGAAUGAUAAUGAUUUUCUAGGAUUGAGUGGGUGGUUAGUUGAAUAGUAUGAUAUGACGGGUGAAAAUUGUCAAAAGAAUAGAUUUGACGACGAAAAACCCGAUAGCACCAAGUCAUUGGUACUAGCGAUAGUAUAGCAGUCGAACUCAACAUAUGUAUAUUAGGGUUAAUUUCGUACAGGUCUCUAUAAAUAUAGUGAAUUGUAAAUAUAUUCUUACAAAAUUUAAUUUCCAUAUAUUGUCCCUGCAAAAGCCCUGAUGUUUUCAAAUAUAUCCCUGCCGUUAGGAUUCCUUAGAAAAAAUUAAUUAAUUAUAGGUAAAAUACUUAACCCUAGUUAGUUAAUGAGAUGAAUUGACCUUUUUACCCUUCUUUAAUUAAUAGUUGGAACUUUUGGAUGGACAUAUUUAUGAUGCCAAAAGGGUCAUUUCGCUUACAGCAUUUUAAUGAAAACAAACCAAAAUAACAUAUUUUAACACAUUAGGAAGUUUAGAGUGAUAACAUAUAAAAGUUGAAAUUUAUAGGGAUGUAUUUGUAAUUCACUAUAUUUGUAGAGACCUGUAUAAAAUUAACCUUAUAUAUUAUUAUAGAGAAAUAUUUUGCCAGGAUUAAAGGCUUACUUGUUAUUUUUCUAUUAAAACUUAGUUUAGUAUUAAGGUUUAUCUAGCAACGCUAUUGAAUAAAAUAGAGUUGGGGUAAAAACAUACAGUGAUAUGAUUCUGCGUUCUCCGAUGGGACUGCAAAAAAUAUAUCGUAACCGACUUAUCGCGAUAUGCGGAAUGCAAUAUUACAUACGGAAAACAAAUAUAAUAUUUUUUAUCGUACUUUCUCACCGCACGUAACGUAAUCUCCCCGCAAUUUCAAACGAAGUCUAAUUCUCUUGGUUACUAUAACUAUU
rnacentral:lncRNA from 1 species